UAGCGUCCGAUUGCACUUGGAUAGAUCCAAAAUAAUAUUGGUCUAAGUGAAAAAGUAGAUAUAAUGUUAAAAUAUCAAUUGCGUCUGCCUGUAUGUUCAUCGAAGGACUGCAAUUAUCGACAGAUCUACGUUCAAAAAACAUAACCUUGGCUCGUUCUGUUGCUCCGCGCCGGGACAUGCGUUGUGUCAACGCGUUUCCUUCUUCGAAUAAUUUUUGCUGAACAAUUAGCCGAUACUAAUUAGUAACAAUGUGCGAGUGUGGGAUGAUUACUCGGUAGUGAUUAAUAGCAGAGAGAAACCAGAGAGCGGCCACCGCAGCCUUUUUCGUGCGUCCGAUAUUUGAUAAUUCGACUAGCAUUAGCGUUGGCGCCAAACGUCGAUGUAAAGCCCGUCCUACAUCAAUCGUAGUCGCUAGUCCAAUUUGCAACACCCAAUGGCUGUCGAGCUUGAACUUAGAAACUAAGCGCUUAUUGGAUGCUUUGCGAUUAAUGUAAAACGGACUUUAUAUUCACAUUUGGCGCUGAUGCUAGUCAAAUAUCGGUCGCACGAAAAAGGCCGCGGUGGUCGCUCUCAGGUUUCCUCUUUAAUUAACCGAUUAAUAGAUUAAUAAAUCACUCGAUCAAGUGCGCGAGUAGAUUUGUUACGCAUCGCGCGACAAGAAAGAACAAACUUAUGACUUAUCGCGCGGUUUAUUACAUGCAAAGUGUUUAUUCCCGGCAAAAUUCAUCCGCCAAGCAGUAUGAAGACAUCAAAUUUGUAAUCUUUCGGCCAUGUUGAGAAUGAUGAGUCAUGUCGCCUCUGCCUACUUUCUGGAUGCCUCCCGUGAUUCGAAAGUUAAUUGUUAUUGUCCAACGCAUACAAUCCCACAGAGACGGCUAAUCUGCACAGUUAUUUAAGAUAAUCUCUUACGCAAAUCUGAUACGUUGGAGGAAGUUUAUAAAGCUUAUUAUGAGUGAAGACCACACAGUUAGGUCAACGACAUGAAAUCACGUUAGCAGGUGAAACAACGAAGCCCAUCUCGAGUUAGACCAGUUCGAGGGUCGGUGUUUUCAGGACACAACGACGUGCAGCAGCCGAGAGUAAGCAAUUUGUACAAAUUAACUCACGCACCACGAAACUUUCUCACUGUCGAAACGGAGGUGGAAACCCCAAUGGCGACGACGGUACGCGGAAUUCUAGAAAUUCUGGCCCGAGACAUGAGGACAAACGCGCGCCAGGAACGCCAUUUCGCGCGAAGGCACGAAGGACAACUGCAGUUACGAUUAUGGGAGUUGUGCCCUGCCUGGGUACCUCUACUUACAGCAUAUUAGCGACCUGAGACGGCCAUUAAACUGGGCUCUUACAAGAUAGACCGUAACAUUGCACGACGCCACGAUUGCCGACCCCUGGCUUCUCUCUCGUCUCUGCCUCGUACUUACGCUGGUCCCCCGGUAAUGACCUUACUUACACGUCACUCAUUUAUAAAAUAGGUAAGACUUUCGCGACCCGAGCCACCUGGAACGCCACUUGGAAGGAAACGACGUCGAUCUAUCGGCGAUAACUUCGUAAUUACACGAGCCAUCGUAAUGACACGUUCAGAAAAUUAAUCGAAUUACUUAACAGGAUUACUUCGUUUCCAACGUUGGCGGAAAUUGCUUUUCUAUAAAAGUUUCUUUAGAAAAAUAUACAAUCGUAAGAUAUAUCACUUUGCCAGAUGCUUUCGUUUAAUGUGAUUGCUGAAAAUAAUUUACCGGAGGCAAUAUGUGUGCAUGGCGUGAGCACUCGAAGGAGAAAGAGGGUUAAAUGAGGAUGCGGAGAACCGUAAUAAUGAGGCACGUCCCAAGAAAGCGAAGCUCAUUGACUUGCCAAGAGCAAAAGGUUGCAUAAUAGCAGACCGUUACGUGACGCGGUGAAUUCAUCGCAAUUAUAUACAGUCGUUUCGGAAUUUCGAGCAUAUCUUCUCGCGUAAAUUUUUCGCGCCAAUAACAGCGAAUUGAAAAUUAUGUUCUCGAAAUUCCGGCCGUCAAGGCGUGGAUUUCUCAUGGAACAUGGCAGACAAGGAUAAUGAGACUUUGACCCAACUCCGACAGAAAUCAUCGUAAUCUGUCUUGUGGUAAUAAAAAAAAAAAGCUGUAACAAAAAAGUCGAGAGUUAUUCCGCGCGGAGGCGGAUUUAUCGGCUCGUUCGAUGUAACUUCCGUUAAAUGUGUUCGGAACAUGUAAAAGUUUAUAUGUUACGAUUCAGCAGUCACAGUGCCGGACACAUCUACUUUUGCAAUCCGAUUACGUUGGGUAGUAAAACUGAAUUGGCCGUAGGAUAACUCUAGCAUACUAUCCGUUUCGAUAUCCUUCGUGCAUUAGCCUCAUUACGGGGACCGGUUAAAAUCCAGCCGCGCUAAUAGCGUUUAAUUGACCCUCGUCCGAGUGUCAAUGAAACACGCGGUCUUGCCUCUGUCAUAGCACCGACCAUUAAUUGCGCAUAGCAAGAGCGCAAUAAUUUGCCAAUUUUCCUCAAAUAAUUUUCGCGCCAGUCGUAAACUCCAACGCGAGUGUUAAACAAAGUUUGCGGUAAAGAUGUCACAAAUAAUAUAAUUAAUUACAGAUUAAAGAAUGAAAAAAGGAAAUUUAAAAUUGCAUAGUUAUUAAUGCAAUAAAGUUUCUUCGGAUUAUCGGAGUUAUAUUUUCUUAUUAUCUCUAUUAUAAUAUUUAAAGUCAUAUUUCAUAUUUAAAGAACGCUUAAAGCUCUUCAGCCGCUAACCCAUCCUGACGGUAAGUAGAAACUGGCGAGCCGUCUCAAUGGCGGUACAUAAUUAAUCGAUCGUUAAUGUUUUCGAGAGAGACGGAGGAGAAGGCUGACGGAGGACCGGCCCAUUCUUCGUGGAGUGUUCGAUCGACUGGAUAUUAGAGUGUUUACCCAAGCUUUACGAAGCUACUCGGCGCAUUGUCUGUUUGCACGAGAGAACGGCACGGCUCCCGGAGGACUGUCUAACGACAUUAGCUUGGGAUUUGUCUUCGGGGCUGGAUACGACGACUACGAGAGGGAAAGCGAGAGGAGGUACACGCUAUUAAUAUUGCGCCGGUAUCGCAGUUUCGCCAGACUCCGCCGUCCUUAAGGGAGAUACGCGCGUGGAUAAGGCGAGACGCGCGUUGGCACCGGCGCAACUCGACACGGGAAAUGAAGCUGUCCCUAUCGUUCUUUAUUGAAAUCACGACGACAGAAUGGCCUACGCAUUACGUACGUCAUAAGAUUCCUCGCAAGGUAUGCCGCUAGCAUAAUACCCAUUCUUCUUUAUCUUAUUUAUGUAUUUCUUUUACGUUUUUGUCUUAAAAUUGAUACACAAAAUUAUCUUUCGAUCUCUGAGACGUUAAUUUUUUUGCAAUAAAUUCUUUAUAGUAUUUAAAGGGAGAAUUUGUAUUAACAUUAUUAUUAUUAAAUUGAUUAUCAAUUUUAUUCAAUUUAGAACCGUGUUUCAGAAAUCGAAAAUUCAGCGCAGUUUGAUAAGCUUGAAAUGUACAUAAUGUCACAAAGAAAAUGUCAACUGUGAUGGAAUAAAGAACUUUUUUAAUUAAUUGUGUUUUUCAUAUUGGUCUACAUGCUCCCCCUAUUACUGUUUAAAAUUAUUUUACGAUAGUUAAAAAUAUCCUUUCUGCGCGGUAAAUAAACGCGCAACCGUAAACCAAUUCUAACUGGAAAUUAUUUUAUCAUUCAGCCAUUGGCACAACGCUCGGUAAGCACGAGUCGUUAAUUUGACGACAACGAAUGAGGCCGGAAUAUCCGCCACGGUCGAGAUAUAAUUAUAUAAACAAUGAUGCCAGACUGUUGUGAAAUAAUGACAGAAACGGUACGUCUCUUCUCCCCCUGGGAACGACCCACGUAAGAGGUGCUUCAUUAAAUACUUGGAUCCCUAAGAGACUUCUCCCUUCUUCAUUGCGAAUUGGCAAGGAGCAAAGGGAAUGAUUAUAAUAAUAAUUACAAGGAUAUUAAUAAUCGCGGGAGAUACGCGGAUAACGAGAUCCAUGCAAACUUUAAUAAACUUCCGGUGAACGAAAUUGUGCGCCAUUAAACGACCGACAUUGCUGCAGUCGUCGUGGCACAAAUUAGAAUUUGCCAUUUACCGUCAAUCAUAUAUAACGUCCUCCGAUUCGUCGAGGAACUUAUCUCGAGGAAUACCUCGCCGUGCCGUCCGCCACUUGACCGUCCUUUGUUCGUUCCCUCCGACGGUUGUUUUUCAUCAGAGAAGAUUAAUAAAACUCAUCAGCAGCUCGCUAGCAGAAGUGCCAAACAUUCCCGGUAUCACAAACGCGUCCGCCGUCGUUGAACGCGCAUCCGGAAAGCGAAUAUAAAUGCAAAUGAAAUUUGGAGAAAACCGCGGGCGGGCCCUCCUCCAGCGGCGUGCAAAAAUUUUCCAGCGAGUCAAGGGUAUAGCGUCAUAUCGAAAACGGUCACGCGGCCCCGGGAGAAAACGUUAUUAAUAACAGAGAGGGUGACAGCGGGGGUGACCCUGCCCCGGGAUUCUCUCCGCUCGGCGAAGGCAAGCCACCCCUGAGUUGACGCGCGAGACGCCUAAUGACAAUUAAUUUAAUGUCUUCGUCGGAAAGCACGCGGGGACAUCUCUCGCGACGGGCCUUUGAGACGCUUCCGUUUCUGACGAGGGGCAGAAUGGUAUAUCAGAGUGGUCGCGGGCUACCGCACUAGAAUCUGCCUCGAGCGCCUCGGACCGGCCGUUGGCCGAUCCAUUAAUCACGAAUGAGCGCCGCGCGAAUAAUAAUUGAUCCCGAAUCCUCAAGGCGGCCUCGAUUUAGCAGGCACUACUCCUUGUGAUGAUUAUUUGAGUGAAGAGCUGAGCUGGAACCCCGCCACGCCGAGAAACGCGUCUUGCCGCACAACUCGAAACGUAUUCCGCUCGCCGGACGUAAAUCAUUACGGAUUUGUGCGGAGUGUGCCCCUCGCGGGACGAAGUAGCGACUAUAUUUAGAGAAUUUUUGAGUAAUUCAACUUCCACUCACUUUCGUCCCCGUGCCGAUCCCGUUUAGAACCGUAACGCUUCGAGUUUUUUUUUUUUCCGUCGUGCUCGCUCGCUUGUUACGAGCAAGUUUGAAAUUGUCGUGGUGCUACAAUGGGUCCAUUAAUCAAGCGCUCGAACGCGUAUCUUUUGAAUGGCGAUUGAUCCCACGCCCCAAAUGGAUUUUUGCCCGGAGCUACUCGCCGCGCUACCACGACUCGCUCACCCUCCGAGGGGCAAUAACGACUUCACCACGGCGAUAUCGAUGUAUCGGCGAUCCGAUGUCUGGUACGUGACGUGGUGUGUUUUCAGGACCCGCAGGUGUGCUUAAAAUUGCGUUCGUGGAAAAUAUAAUGUGGCCGCGGAUAUAACAAUUUUCCUUCGUUAUACCGAUUCUCGCGUUCUAUCUAUUGUUUCUUCUAAUUAGCUCUGCGUUAAUAAUGCGAUUAAUUAAUGUAAAAAGGUAAAAAGCGAUAGCGUAAAUGUGUAUGUAUAAUUCUUUGUUUGCUAAAAUUAUCUGCGCGGUCUUAAAAUUUUGUAACAAUUUUUCCUAUAUUUAUAUCACAUUUUUAACAAUAGGAAAAAAU